CCUACGGGAGGCAGCAGUGAGGAAUAUUGGUCAAUGGGCGAGAGCCUGAACCAGCCAAGUCGCGUGAGGGAGUACUGCCCUAUGGGUUGUAAACCUCUUUUGUCGGGGAGCAAAAGCCGGACGUGUCCGGCUGUGAGAGUACCCGAAGAAAAAGCGUCGGCUAACUCCGUGCCAGCAGACGCGGUAAUACGGAGGAUGCGAGCGUUAUCCGGAUUUAUUGGGUUUAAAGGGUGCGCAGACGGAUUUUUAAGUCAGAGGUCACAUCGUGGGGCGCACCCCCAUACAGACGUUGAAACUGGGGAUCUAUAGUGUGCGAGAGGUAUGUGGAAUGCGUGGUGUAGCGGUGAAAUGCAUAGAUAUCACGCAGAACCCCGAUUGCGAAGGCAGCAUACCGGUGCACAACUGACGCUCAGGCACGAAAGCGUGGGUAUCGAACAGGAUUAGAUACCCUUGUAGUC
rnacentral:rRNA from 1 species